UCCUUCUUAGCUCAGUUGGUAGAGCGCGUCACUAGUACUUAUCCAAGUGUAUGAAGAGGUCAGUCGUUCAAGUCGGCUAGAAGGAA